rnacentral:tRNA from 1 species
UCCCUGGUGGUCCAGUGGUUAGGACUCUGCACUUCCACUGCACAGGGGCACGGGUUCAAUUCCUGGUAGGGGAA